UACGUAGGGGGCAAGCGUUGUCCGGAUUUAUUGGGCGUAAAGAGCGUGUAGGCGGCCAUGCAGGUCCGUUGUGAAAACUCGAGGCUCAACCUCGAGACGCCGAUGGAAACCGCAUGGCUAGAGUCCGGAAGAGGAGAGUGGAAUUCCUGGUGUAGCGGUGAAAUGCGCAGAUAUCAGGAAGAACACCAAUGGCGAAGGCAGCUCGCUGGGACGGUACUGACGCUGAGACGCGAAAGCGUGGGGAGCAAACAGG
rnacentral:rRNA from 1 species